CUCGAUCUCCCACGUUCCACAUGGAGGUAAUCAGUCGGUGGAUGGGUUAGUUCGGGUGUUCGUCAAUUCGUCGUUCUGCUCAACUUCAUCUCUUCCUCCGCCUAUUCGCGAUCUUGUUCAGACUGGAGUGCCAUACCCUUGUUUGCAAUCUCCUCUGUUUUCUUUUGUUUGGGCCUUUGCCCCCUAUGUAAUAAAAAAAAAAAAAUGGAAAAAGAAAAGAAGAAGAAGAAGAAGGGAAACAUAAAGCGAAGGAAAGUGACUAUUAAUUGUAAAGGUGC
rnacentral:lncRNA from 1 species